GCUCAUUCUCUACCCACAGCCCCCCCUCAUCUCUUUCUCUCCUGCUCCUGUUCUCCCCCCUUUCUCCUCCCUUUUUCCUCCCUCCCUCCCUUGCUCCUCUCUUCCCUCCUCCCUCCCCCUUUUCUCACCUCCUCCCUUUCCCUCUCCCUCUUCUCUCUCAGUUCCCUAACAUUAAAGAGAAAAUGCUGCUAUCAGUGACUUCCAGGCCUGGGAUUUCAACUUUUGGCUAUAACAGGAACAACAAGAAGCCAUAUGUGUCAUUGGCUCAGCAGAUGGCACCACCUAGUUCAAGCAACAGUACCCCUAAUAGCAGCAGUGGAAGCAAUGGAAAUGACCAGCUGAGCAAAACCAACUUAUAUAUCCGAGGAUUGCAACCAGGCACUACUGACCAGGACCUUGUCAAGCUGUGUCAACCAUAUGGCAAGAUUGUUUCCACUAAGGCCAUACUGGACAAGACCACAAAUAAAUGCAAAGGCUAUGGCUUUGUGGAUUUUGACAGUCCUUCAGCAGCACAGAAAGCUGUGACAGCACUGAAAGCCAGUGGUAUACAGGCACAGAUGGCAAAGCAACAGGAGCAGGACCCCACAAAUUUAUACAUCUCAAACCUCCCACUGUCCAUGGAUGAGCAAGAACUGGAGGGGAUGCUGAAGCCCUUUGGCCAGGUUAUCUCCACCCGAAUCCUUCGAGAUACCAGUGGGACUAGCAGAGGGGUUGGCUUUGCAAGGAUGGAGUCCACAGAGAAGUGUGAAGCCAUCAUCACCCACUUUAAUGGAAAAUAUAUUAAGACACCCCCUGGAGUACCAGCCCCAUCUGAUCCUUUGCUUUGCAAAUUUGCUGAUGGUGGACCAAAGAAACGACAGAACCAAGGAAAAUUUGUGCAGAAUGGACGGGCCUGGCCAAGGAAUGGAGACAUGGGUGGUAUGGCAUUGACCUAUGACCCCACCACAGUGCUUCAGAAUGGGUUUUACUCAGCCCCUUAUAACAUCACCCCCAACAGGAUGCUUGCUCAGUCUGCACUGUCCCCAUACCUUCCAUCUCCUGUGUCUUCCUAUCAGAGAGUGACUCAGACAUCUCCUCUACAAGUACCUAACCCAUCUUGGAUGCACCACCAGUCAUACCUCAUGCAGCCUUCAGGUUCAGUUCUGACACCAGGGAUGGAUCACCCCAUUUCUCUCCAGCCUGCCUCCAUGAUGGGACCCCUUACCCAGCAACUGGGUCACCUCUCCCUCAGCAGCACGGGCACGUAUAUGCCAACAGCUGCAGCUAUGCAAGGAGCUUACAUCUCCCAGUACACCCCUGUGCCUUCUUCCAGUAUUUCAGUUGAGGAGAGCAGUGGCCAGCAGAAUCAAGUGGCAGUGGAUACACCCUCAGACCAUGGGGUCUAUUCUUUCCAGUUCAACAAAUAACAGUGGGUAGUAGAAGCUGGCUACGCUCUGCAUGCAUAAGUUGAAGGGAGCCAGCAUCCAAGCCCACCUGGUGCCAGAGAGUUGAAGGGCUCCAGAGAGUCUUCACUGAGGAUUGGCGUGUCUUCCAGUUGAUCAGGAAGAUGUGAAGGAUCAUCUAAACAACUCACUGUGGGAUCAGGAACCAGGACUGAGACCUCUUGGUGUAAUGAUUCCACAGAAGGGACAGAGCCAUUGUAGCCACAUAUCUUCAGUUCUAGAAAAUUCCAGGAGAAAGCAAAAGUCAAAUUCAGUGCCUUCAACUGGUUCACUGAGCUAAAGUAGGCAAUCAGUCUUUACUAGAAGGAUGUUCACUCAUUCAACAUGUAUUGAUGCCAUAAUGCCAGUUCUAUGCUAGGAAAUGAUCACAGCAAGAUACUCUAAGUGAGCAGAGAUAUGCUGGUAAAAUCAAUCCCUACUGCAGGCAAAGAAAGGGGAAAGAAGAGUAGGGUCUGAUAGAAGAACCCAGUCAUGUUUUCAGAUAUCUCCCCCAUCCAGUGGGAACAGAGAGUGGAUCCUGUGAUUUUACAGGGUAGUGGUCACCCUUCUACACAGCAAUCAACUGCAAGCUAAGCUUUUAUCUAUUUUCAGGGAAAAGAUGGGAGGGGUUACACAUGUACAAUGCUAACAACAAAAAAGAAAGGAAACUGAGUAGACAAGCAAUGGUAUGCUCUGCUUGCUUCCUUACCCCCUUCAUAUGUCAGUCACUCAGCCCACUUUAGCAGCCAGUCUGACUCUGCCAUAGUCAGUCAAAACGGCCUCAAUGCCUGCUGCUAAUGCCUAAACCCCUUUAUAUAUUUUGGAAGAAGCCCUUCUUGAUGCAGGAUGUCUGUUGGGGCUGUUUUGGGCUCGCCCACCUGCCCUCUCCAGGCCAGCAGCUCUGCAUGAGCUUGAAAUAAUUUGCACUCCCACUCUCGAGCUGGUGCUGCUGCCACAAAAACACCAGCCACUUGUCUCUGCUAAUCACCAACAUGCAAAUCAGCCUCCACUGCAGAGAGCUGGAAAGACAAGUUUUCCUCACCUCAAAAAACCACUGUCUCCCACAGCCCCAUUUUCCCUCUCCCCACCCAGCUCACAGACCCAGUUAUACCUGGUUGCUCUUCUUCCAGCUCCAGGCUGCCUACCAAGCCAGUGCCAUUCUCUGCCACAACUGAAGUCAUCUCCUUUUCUGCUGCCUCAUCAGGAUGGAUACCACUGCCUACCUCCUGGGAGGGUGCAAAGGGGAAUUCUUCCCUUGGAGGGGCAUGACUGGAUUCUCCAGACACCCCCCUCCUUUUCCCAGUGCCUAUUUGGCCCCACAGUGGCACCAGAAGGGACAGCCUCCACCUCACUGGCACAUGCAGAUCCAGCACUUUGUGCUGGGCUAAAAAUAGAAUUUGCAGUCACCACAGCGACAAGAUCCCAGCUCAGAAGGCUGGGCCUAGCCCCUCCCCAUAGGCACUGAAGGGUAACAUGCAGGGGGAAAAAAAAUCUUUGCAUGAUCAAUGCUGCAGAGUUCAGCUCUUAACAUCAAUGGCAACCUCUGAGAUGGAGAACAAUUAAAUAAAAGGAACCAAGGUACUAAG